UCAGGCCUAACACAUGCAAGUCGAACGGUAACAUUUCUAGCUUGCUAGAAGAUGACGAGUGGCGGACGGGUGAGUAAUGCUUGGGAACUUGCCUUUGCGAGGGGGAUAACAGUUGGAAACGACUGCUAAUACCGCAUAAUGUCUACGGACCAAACGGGGCUUCGGCUCCGGCGCAAAGAGAGGCCCAAGUGAGAUUAGCUAGUUGGUAAGGUAACGGCUUACCAAGGCGACGAUCUCUAGCUGUUCUGAGAGGAAGAUCAGCCACACUGGGACUGAGACACGGCCCAGACUCCUACGGGAGGCAGCAGUGGGGAAUAUUGCACAAUGGGGGAAACCCUGAUGCAGCCAUGCCGCGUGUGUGAAGAAGGCCUUCGGGUUGUAAAGCACUUUCAGUUGUGAGGAAAAGUUAGUAGUUAAUACCUGCUAGCCGUGACGUUAACAACAGAAGAAGCACCGGCUAACUCCGUGCCAGCAGCCGCGGUAAUACGGAGGGUGCGAGCGUUAAUCGGAAUUACUGGGCGUAAAGCGCACGCAGGCGGUUUGUUAAGCUAGAUGUGAAAGCCCCGGGCUCAACCUGGGAUGGUCAUUUAGAACUGGCAGACUAGAGUCUUGGAGAGGGGAGUGGAAUUCCAGGUGUAGCGGUGAAAUGCGUAGAUAUCUGCAGGAACAUCAGUGGCGAAGGCGACUCCCUGGCCAAACA
rnacentral:rRNA from 1 species